GAUGAACGCUGGCGGCGUGCCUAAUACAUGCAAGUUGAGCGAUCAGACUUGGUGCUUGCUCCUCUUUCAUUAGCGGCGAACGGGUGAGUAACACGUGGAUAACCUACCUUUAAGCCUGGGAUAACUUCUGGAAACGGGUGCUAAUACCGCAUAACAUCUUUAACCAUAUGUUUUAAUAUUGAAAGAUGCUUUUGCUUCCCUUUAUAGUUGUAUCCGCGUCGCAUUAGCUAGUUGGUAAGGUAACGGCUUACCAAGGCAACGAUGCGUAGCCGACGUGAGAGGGUGAUGGGCAACACGGGAACUGAGACACGGUCAAGAUUCCAAGGGGAGGCGCAAGUAGGGAAUCUUCCGAAAGGGGCGAAAGCCUGACGGAGAAACGCGGGGUGAGUGAGGAAGGUCUUCGGAUCGAAAAACUUUGUUAUAAGGGAAGAAGAAAGGUGGAAGGAAAUAUGCACGAAGUGACGGUACCUAAUCAGAAAGCCACGGCUAACUACGUG
rnacentral:rRNA from 1 species